rnacentral:rRNA from 1 species
AGUGGAUGGGGAGCAACCUAGUUGUGCGUGUGUAAAGGUAGUGCCAAGAAAAGCGAUGAUCAUGUUGAAAAUCAAUUCCCGGUACCCGAAACCGACACAGGUGGGCAAGUAGAGAAUACUAAGGGGCGCGAGGUAACUCUCUCCAAGGAACUCGGCAAAAUGACCCCGUAACUUAGGGAGAAGGGGUGCCACCGAGAGGUGGUCGCAGUGAAGAGGCCCAGGCGACUGUUUAGCAAAAACAUAGGUCUCUGCAAACUCGAAAGAGGAGGUAUAGGGGCUGACGCCUGCCCAGUGCCAAGGUUAAAGAAGUUGGUCAGUCUUAGGAUGAAGCUAGCGACUGAAGCCCCGGUGAACGGCGGCCGUAACUAUAACGGUCCUAAGGUAGCGAAAUUCCUUGUCGGGUAAGCUCCGACCCGCACGAAAGGCGUAACGAUCUGGGCGCUGUCUCGGAGAGAGGCUCGGCGAAAUAGGAUUGUCUGUGAAGAUACGGACUACCUGCAUUUGGACAGAAAGACCCUAUGAAGCUUUACUAUAGCUUGGAAUUGUGUUCGGGCUUCCUGUGCGCAGGAUAGGUGGGAGGCGUAGAAGGUAUUCUUGUGGGGAUACUGGAGCCAACGGUGAGAUACCACUCUCAGGAGGCUAGAAUUCUAACUUAAUUAAGGACAGUUUCAGGUGGGUAGUUUGACUGGGGCGGUCGCCUCCAAAAAGGUAACGGAGGCGUACAAAGGUUCCCUCAGACUGGUUGAAAUCAGUCGAAGAGUGCAAAGGCAGAAGGGAGCUUGACUGCGAGAAGUACAGUUCGAGCAGGGUGGAAACACGGUCUUAGUGAUCCGACGGUGCUGUGUGGAAGGGCCGUCGCUCAACGGAUAAAAGUUACUCUAGGAUAACAGGCUGAUCUCCCCCAAGAGUUCACAUCGACGGGGAGGUUUGGCACCUCGAUGUCGGCUCAUCGCAACCUGGGGCGGAAGUACGUCCCAAGGGUUGGGCUGUUCGCCCAUUAAAGCGGUACGUGAGCUGGGUUCAGAACGUCGUGAGACAGUUCGGUCCAUAUCCGAUGUAGGCGUGAGAAUAUUGAGAGGAGCCUUCCUUAGUACGAGAGGACCGGGAGGGACGCACCCUGGUGUACCUGUUAUGAUGCCAAUUGUAAACGCAGGGUAGCCAAGUGCGGAGAGGAUAACCGCUGAAAGCAUCUAAGUGGGAAGCCCACCUCAAGAUGAGUAUUCUGGUGUAAGGUCACGGGAAGACGACCCGUAAAUAGGCACGAGGUGGAAGUGCAGAGAUGUAUGAAGCCGAAGUGUACUAAUAGACCGUCGGCUUGACC